rnacentral:rRNA from 1 species
AUACGUAGGGGGCGAGCGUUGUCCGGAAUGAUUGGGCGUAAAGGGCGCGUAGGCGGCCCGGUAAGUCUGGAGUGAAAGUCCUGCUUUUAAGGUGGGAAUUGCUUUGGAUACUGUCGGGCUUGAGUGCAGGAGAGGUAAGUGGAAUUCCCAGUGUAGCGGUGAAAUGCGUAGAGAUUGGGAGGAACACCAGUGGCGAAGGCGACUUACUGGACUGUAACUGACGCUGAGGCGCGAAAGUGUGGGGAGCAAACAGGAUUAGAUACCCUGGUAGUCCACGCUGUAAACGAUGAAUGCUAGGUGUAGGGGGUAUCGACCCCUUCUGUGCCGCAGUUAACACAAUAAGCAUUCCGCCUGGGGAGUACGGCCGCAAGGCUGAAACUC